rnacentral:misc_RNA from 1 species
GGAAGUAAAAGUUGUAACAAGGUUUCCGUAGGUGAACCUGCGGAAGGAUCAUUAUUGUAUAACCGAGGUGCGAGGGCUGUCGCUGACCCGAAAGGUCGUGCACGCCCGAGUGCCCUCACACACAUCCAUCUCACCCCUAUAUGCACCACCGCGUGGGUCCCCCUUUGGCUUGUUCGGAGGGGGGCUUACGUUUUCACACAAACUUUGUAUGCAGUGUAGAAUGUAUUUUUUGUUUUUGCGAUCACGCAAUCAAUACAACUUUCAACAACGGAUCUCUUGGCUCUC